GAUGAACGCUGGCGGCGUGCCUAACACAUGCAAGUCGAACGGAAAGGCCCUGCUUUUGUGGGGUGCUCGAGUGGCGAACGGGUGAGUAACACGUGAGUAAACUGCCCUUGUCUUUGGGAUAACUUCAGGAAACUGGGGCUAAUACCGGAUAGGAGCUCCUGCUGCAUGGUGGGGGUUGGAGAGUUUCGGCGGUUGGGGAUGGACUCGGGGCGUAUGCGCUUGUUGGUGGGGUAGUGGGCUACUAAGGCUAUGAUGGGUAGCCGGCGUGAGAGGGUGGUCGGCCGCCUUGGAGGGGGGCCGGGCACAAGAGGCCUGAGGGAGGGCCCAGUCGGCAACGUUAGGCAGUGGGGGGGAGCAUGACACAGUGGGCGCGAGUGUGUGACGACGGCCUUCGGUUCGUAAAGACGUCCUUCGGGGUGUGAACCGCUUUCGCCUGUGACGAAGCGGGAGUGACGGUACCGGAUAAAGAAGCACCGGCUAACUACGUG
rnacentral:rRNA from 1 species